CCCUUAGAUGUUCUGGGCCGCACGCGCACUACACUGUUCGACGCAGCGAGUCUUAACCUUGACCGAAAGGUUUGGGUAAUCUUCAGCAAAGUCGAACGUGAUGGGGAUCGAUCAUUGCAAUUAUUGAUCGUGAACGAGGAAUUCCUAGUAAGUGCAAGUCAUCAGCUUGCGCUGAUUACGUCCCUGCCCUUUGUACACACCGCCCGUCGCUACUACCGAUUGAAUGGUUUAGUGAGAUCUCUGGAUUGACGCUGGCUAGGGGGCGACCCUUGGCCAGACUGCUCGAGAAACUGCUCAAACUUGAUCAUUUAGAGGAAGUAAAAGUCGUAACA
rnacentral:rRNA from 1 species